rnacentral:lncRNA from 1 species
UCGUGUUAUUUUGAAAUCAACUGUUGUUUUUGAAAACGCGCCCUAAAGCUAUCCAAUUUCAACAGUUAAAAUAAGUAUUACCUAUCUUAGUAAUACAUAUUAAAAACCAUCAAAAAUAAAUAAGCGGCCUUAUUACAUUUAAAAGCCCAAAACCUCAAACGUAAUUAAAAGGAUGUCCAGUUCACCAGAAGAAAAUCAAACUUUCAGAAUGGGUGGCCACUCCGAAUUCCCUCACAGCUCCAAGCCCACUAUGGUUGGGGAUUUCCUGCGUGGAUGAAAAUAAA